rnacentral:rRNA from 1 species
ACUCCUACGGGAGGCAGCAGUGGGGAAUAUUGCGCAAUGGACGAAAGUCUGACGCAGCGACGCCGCGUGGAGGAUGAAGGUUUCGGAUCGUAAACUCCUGUCAAGAGGGAAGAAACCUAUCAUGAAUAAUACUUAUGGUAAUUGACGGUACCUCUAGAGGAAGCACCGGCUAAUUCAGUGCCAGCAGCCGCGGUAAUACUGAAGGUGCAAGCGUUAAUCGGAAUCACUGGGCGUAAAGCGCUCGUAGGUGGCUUUGUAAGUCAGGUGUGAAAGCCCACGGCUCAACCGUGGAAUUGCACUUGAUACUGCAUCGCUAGAGUAUAGGAGAGGGAAGUGGAAUUUCUGGUGUAGGAGUGAAAUCCGUAGAGAUCAGAAGGAACACCCGUGGCGAAGGCGACUUCCGUGGACUAUUACUGACACUGAGGAGCGAAAGCGU